rnacentral:rRNA from 1 species
AUUGAACGCUGGCGGCAGGCCUAACACAUGCAAGUCGAGCGGAUGACGGGAGCUUGCUCCUUGAUUCAGCGGCGGACGGGUGAGUAAUGCCUAGGAAUCUGCCUGGUAGUGGGGGACAACGUUUCGAAAGGAACGCUAAUACCGCAUACGUCCUACGGGAGAAAGCAGGGGACCUUCGGGCCUUGCGCUAUCAGAUGAGCCUAGGUCGGAUUAGCUAGUUGGUGGGGUAAUGGCUCACCAAGGCGACGAUCCGUAACUGGUCUGAGAGGAUGAUCAGUCACACUGGAACUGAGACACGGUCCAGACUCCUACGGGAGGCAGCAGUGGGGAAUAUUGGACAAUGGGCGAAAGCCUGAUCCAGCCAUGCCGCGUGUGUGAAGAAGGUCUUCGGAUUGUAAAGCACUUUAAGUUGGGAGGAAGGGCAGUAAGUUAAUACCUUGCUGUUUUGACGUACCGACAGAAUAAG